AUAAAGUUGAGCUUUCGGAGGUAGUAGAACAUGUCAGCAAUCUCAGUCACCCCAUUAAUAUGCAAGCCCAUCUUGGAGCAGACAUGGGAGUCUCUAACACAGGAGCUGAUCUUGGACCAGUAGGUAUCACUUCUGAACAAGUUGCAUCACCUCAAUUCAAACAAGAAUAGACAGAAUUAAAUACACUUAAAAUUGAGGAAUGAUAUAGAUUGUCAUCCC